rnacentral:pre_miRNA from 1 species
GCAUCCUCAGAGACCUGGGCUUGGGUGGUAGAAUGAAUGAGUACUGGCCUUUCGAUUAUGGAUUUGACUCCAGCCUCCCAGCCUCAGCUACCCCCACCAAUUAUCAUAUGAAC